CGCCCAGCCCCGCCGAGAGGGGCGCACUCGCCGCCGCGGGGUCCGCGGCCGCUCACCGCACCCCCCUCCUGGCGACCCGCAAGUUAUUUCAAACUGUAAGUGCAUCAUUCCAGCAGCAAAGCUGAAAUUCCCAGUGGUCUUGUCUACUUGACCUACUCAUUCCCUGUUCUGAAAUCUAGAGAAAACUUCUCCACAAGACUCCUCCAUAAAUUGCUGCAAUGUCUGUAUCUAAUUUAUCGUGAUGGAGAGGAAGGAGACUUGAAGAAUAUGGGGAAGGAAAGAUU